CACCUGUCAGGGUUGCAUCUGGAGAGUUUCCAGUACUCUACCGGUCUCGGCUAUGGGAGGAAGAGUCAAGAAGAGGCCUACCCACUCCAUUCCUAGCUUGGGCAGUGGCUAGCGAGUGGAAGACAAUCUUCUCCAAGU